rnacentral:hammerhead_ribozyme from 1 species
GCACUGCUGAGGAGUCCCAUAAUAGGACGAAACGGCUGUCCAGUUC